UGGCUCAGUGGAAAGAGCGUCAGCCUGCGGACUGAAGAAUCACAGGUUUGAUUCCUGU
rnacentral:tRNA from 1 species